UACGAAGGGGGCUAGCGUUGCUCGGAAUCACUGGGCGUAAAGGGUGCGUAGGCGGGUUUUUAAGUCAGGGGUGAAAUCCUGGAGCUCAACUCCAGAACUGCCUUUGAUACUGAGGAUCUUGAGUUCGGGAGAGGUGAGUGGAACUGCGAGUGUAGAGGUGAAAUUCGUAGAUAUUCGCAAGAACACCAGUGGCGAAGGCGGCUCACUGGCCCGAUACUGACGCUGAGGUGCGAAAGCGUGGGGAGCAAACAGG
rnacentral:rRNA from 1 species